rnacentral:rRNA from 1 species
AUUGAACGCUGGCGGCAGGCCUAACACAUGCAAGUCGAACGAGUGGCGGACGGGUGAGUAAUGUCUGGGAAACUGCCUGAUGGAGGGGGAUAACUACUGGAAACGGUAGCUAAUACCGCAUACCAUCGGAUGUGCCCAGAUGGGAUUAGCUAGUAGGUGGGGUAAAGGCUCACCUAGGCGACGAUCCCUAGCUGGUCUGAGAGGGUGACUAGCCUCACUGGAACGGGGGCACGGUCCAGACUCCUACGGGAGGCAGCAGUGGGAAAUAUUGCCAAAUGGGCGCAAGCCUGAUGCAGCCAUGCCGCGGGUAUGAAGAAGGCCUUCGGGUUGCAAAGUACUUUCAGCGGGGAGGCGUUACCCGCAGAAGAAGCACCGGCUAACUCCGUGCCAGCCGCCGCGGUAAUAC